rnacentral:rRNA from 1 species
UACGUAGGGUGCGAGCGUUAAUCGGAAUUACUGGGCGUAAAGCGUGCGCAGGCGGUUUUGUAAGCCAGAUGUGAAAUCCCCGGGCUCAACCUGGGAAUGGCAUUUGGGACUGCAAGGCUUGAGUGCGGCAGAGGAGACUGGAAUUCCUGGUGUAGCAGUGAAAUGCGUAGAUAUCAGGAGGAAUACCGAUGGCGAAGGCAGGUCUCUGGGCUGACACUGACGCUCAUGCACGAAAGCGUGGGGAGCAGACAGG